CAGAACUUUGGAAACUGAGCAGAAGCAAGGGAGGGAGAUAGCAGAUGGACCACAACUGAAAACGAGCCACAAACCCAGUCUGAUACUGUUCUGUGUAGUUGUGAGGCCUGGGAAUCCUGAGCCAUCUUGCUUCUGGCCUGAGAUGAAGAACAUGGGGAGAGAACAGGGCAGAAAGCAGCAUGGUGAUUUCAGAGGAGAGGAGCUGGAGCCACUGGGUGAAACUCCACCCCCGUCCAAUGCCUCUCUGACAUCUGGACAUUCAGUUAGGUGCCUCAGGACAUUUUUGUUUGGCUUAUGCAGCUUCAAGUUGGAUGUUACGGUCCUUAUAGCCAAAAACAACACAACU